rnacentral:lncRNA from 10 species
AGAACGUUCCCUCCUGUCCUGUCUUCUGCCCCUUCCUCCUCUCAAAGCUGAGUGGGAAGGGGCUUCACACAAAGAUCAGGAAAGCUUGACGUAUGGCUAGUGAACUUUAGGAGGGAGAGGUACUGGGAUGUGGCUCAACCAGAGAAAAUCCCAGGCCCAUAGCUACAUGAAGACUGGUCUCUGUCCUCAAGUUGCUUACAGUUUGCAGGUGCUACACCAAUGGGUAUCAUUUGUAUCUCACAUAGGGAACGUUUCACCCUGCAGGACAACGAGCCAGAGCCUUGCAUACCAGGGGCAGGCAUUAGACCACACCCGCUUUGACUGUUAGACUCAUCUGCAGUGCUUGUGCCACUAGUGAGAUGCGCCUAAUGGGGGAGUUCAUCCCCCACCUCACCCUGGUCAGUGAAAAGAAAGAAAAAAAGACUAAGCCAGGAAACCUCUUGAAGGCCCAGAGAAGUAGGCACGUAUAUAAGGUUGAAGUUUGAGUUAGAUAG